rnacentral:rRNA from 1 species
UACGUAGGGUGCAAGCGUUAAUCGGAAUUACUGGGCGUAAAGCGUGCGCAGGCGGUUUUGUAAGACUGUCGUGAAAUCCCCGGGCUUAACCUGGGAAUUGCGAUGGUGACUGUAAGGCUAGAGUUUGGCAGAGGGGGGUAGAAUUCCACGUGUAGCAGUGAAAUGCGUAGAGAUGUGGAGGAACACCGAUGGCGAAGGCAGCCCCCUGGGUCAAAACUGACGCUCAUGCACGAAAGCGUGGGGAGCAAACAGG